UCAUUUACCAUUUCACAAUUUAGCUAAAAUUACAAAUUGACCAUUAUUUUUUAUCUUUUUGUUCAGAAUCUGACUUUUCUGUUUUAUUUUUUAAUUUUUAUUUAUCUAAAAUAAAACGAAACCCGAGAAAAUCAAUGCCAUCUUCGAGCUGUCGGACCCGAACCCCUUUACUACCAACUACCAAGGUAAACGAAGGCAGAAGAGACAGAGGAGGAGCAAGAGAGAUGGGGAAGCGAGUCGGGAGCAGGAACUCGAACGAGUCAGCAUUGACUCGGUGGGUUAGGUCGGUCUUUGGGUUCGUCAAAUUCGCCGAGUUUGAAAUCCUGUUUGUUCUUUUCUUCGUGAUCGCUUUCCUCGUUUUCAAAGAUCUCACAUCGAGGCCGGAAUACAGUCAGAUUCUCGUAAAAAAGCCAGGUGGAGGUGGUUUUUGGCCGUACUAGCUGGAGAUCUCAUUGUUGGAUUAACGUUUGGUAUUUUGGAUGUUGAUUAUGGACUUUUUUUGUAACACAACAGGAUUUCUUCCCAUCCGUGUAUUUGUUGUAAGUAUAUGAUUAAACAACAGCUAUCGAUAUUGAACAAAUUUGUCUA